rnacentral:rRNA from 1 species
AUCUACUGCCAUAGCACCCUGAAUGCACUCGAUCUUCUCUGAUCUCAGAAGCUAAGCAGGGCCGGGCCUGGUUCGUGCUUGCAAGGGAGAUAGCAACAGGAAAACAGAAAAGA